CACACAUAAAAACGAUAAUCGCGUUCUUGCACUGCCCACACUGUGACAUUCGCAGUGGACAAGGGCAAAGCUUUUCUCACACUAAAGUGGAGUUUGGCGAC